rnacentral:rRNA from 1 species
AUUGAACGCUGGCGGCAUGCUUUACACAUGCAAGUCGAACGGUAACAGGGAGCUUGCUCCGCUGACGAGUGGCGAACGGGUGAGUAAUGCGUCGGAACGUGCCGAGUAGUGGGGGAUAACGCAUCGAAAGGUGUGCUAAUACCGCAUACGUACUGAGAUAGAAAGUGGGGGACCUUCGGGCCUCACGCUAUUCGAGCGGCCGACGUCUGAUUAGCUAGUUGGUGGGGUAAAGGCUCACCAAGGCGACGAUCAGUAGCGGGUCUGAGAGGAUGAUCCGCCACACUGGGACUGAGACACGGCCCAGACUCCUACGGGAGGCAGCAGUGGGGAAUUUUGGACAAUGGGCGCAAGCCUGAUCCAGCCAUGCCGCGUGUCUGAAGAAGGCCUUCGGGUUGUAAAGGACUUUUGUCCGGGAGCAAAUGCCUGGUGUUAAUAGCACUGGGAGCUGAGAGUACCGGAAGAAUAAGCACCGGCUAACUACGUGCCAGCAGCCGCAGUAACAC